GGAAUAUUGCACAAUGGGCGCAAGCCUGAUGCAGCCAUGCCGCGUGUAUGAAGAAGGCCUUCGGGUUGUAAAGUACUUUCAGCGAGGCGGUAGGCAUUAAGGUUAAUAACCUUGGUGAUUGACGUUGCCCGCAGAAGCAGCACAGGCUAACUCCGUGCCAGCAGCCGCGGUAAUACGGAGGGUGCAAGCGUUAAUCGGAAUUACUGGGCGUAAAGCGCACGCAGGCGGUCUGUCAAGUCGGAUGUGAAAUCCCCGGGCUCAACCUGGGAACUGCAUUCGAAACUGGCAGGCUAGAGUCUUGUAGAGGGGGGUAGAAUUCCAGGUGUAGCGGUGAAAUGCGUAGAGAUCUGGAGGAAUACCGGUGGCGAAGGCGGCCCCCUGGACAAAGACUGACUCUCAGGUGCGAAAGCGUGGGGAGCAAACA
rnacentral:rRNA from 1 species